AUGGAUUUGAGGUUGGGCUACCAUCAAAUCAAAAUCAGAAACGGGGACAUUCCUAAAACGGCCUUUGUUACUCGUUAUGGCCAAUACGAGUACACCGUCAUGUCUUUCGGUUUAACCAACGCUCCAGCCACCUUUUCUCGGUUAAUGAACUCAAUCUUCAUGGAGUAUUUGGAUAAAUUCGUCGUGGUUUACCUAGAUGAUAUACUCAUCUACUCCAAGAACGAGGAAGAACAUGCCGAACAUCUAAGGCUAGUGUUGAAGAAACUUCGAGAGCACCGCCUUUAUGCCAAGUUUUCCUAA
rnacentral:rRNA from 1 species